UGGCCUUGACAUAGAAAGAACUUUCCAGAGACGGAUUGGUGCUAGUUUACUAGAGCUUUCAUACAGGUGCUGCACGGCUGUCGUCAGCUCGUGUCGUGAGAUGUUGGGUUAAGUCCCGCAACGAGCGCAACCCUCGUGUUUAGUUACUAACAGUUCGGCUGAGGACUCUAGACAGACUGCCUGGGUAACCAGGAGGAAGGUGAGGACGACGUCAAGUCAUCAUGGCCCUUACGGCCAGGGCUACACACGUGCUACAAUGGGGUAUACAAAGAGCCGCGAUACCGUGAGGUGGAGCAAAUCUCAUAAAAUAUCUCCCAGUUCGGAUUGAAGUCUGCAACUCGACUUCAUGAAGUUGGAAUCGCUAGUAAUCGUAGAUCAGCAAUGCUACGGUGAAUACGUUCCCGGGUCU
rnacentral:rRNA from 1 species